rnacentral:rRNA from 1 species
GACGAACGCUGGCGGCGUGCUUAACACAUGCAAGUCGAACGGAAAGGCCCUGCUUUUGUGGGGUGCUCGAGUGGCGAACGGGUGAGUAACCCGUGAGUACCCUGCCCUUGACUUUGGGAUAACUUAAGGCAACUGGUGCUCAUCCCGGAUAGGAGCACCUGCUGCUUGGUGGGGGUUGGAAAGUUUCGGCGGUUGGGUAUGGACUCGCGGCUUAUCAGCUUGUUGGUGGGGUAGUUGCUUACCAAGGCUUUGACGGGUAGCCGGCCUGAGAGGGUGACCGGCCACAUUGGGACGGAGAUACGGCCCAGACUACAACGGGAGGCAGCGGUGGGGAAGAUUGCACAACGGGCUGAAGGCUGAUGUAGCAACGCCGCGUGCGGGAUGACGGCCUUCGGGUUGUAAACCGCUUUCGCCUGUGACGAAGCGUGAGUGACGGUAAUGGGUAAAGAAGCACCGGCUAACUACGUG